GACGUAGGGGGCAAGCGUUGUCCGGAAUUACUGGGCGUAAAGCGCGUGUAGGCGGUUUGGCCAGUCCCGUGUGAAAGCCUCCGGCUCAACUGGAGGACGCCGCGGGAUACUGCCGGACUCGAGGACAGGAGAGGGAAGUGGAAUUCCCGGUGUAGCGGUGAAAUGCGUAGAUAUCGGGAGGAACGCCAGUGGCGAAGGCGGCUUCCUGGCCUGUCCCUGACGCUGAGACGCGAAAGCUGGGGGAGCGAACGGG
rnacentral:rRNA from 1 species